AUGCUCUCUGAGCGUCUAUUAGCAAUCCUCUGGAUGCAGCUAACAGUGGUGAACGGCCAAGUACUGAGUCAGAGUGCGCAGUAUGUAUUCAUCCCAGAAGGAAAGGAUGUCUCCAUGAGCUGCAACUCCUCAAGUGCACUUGACAAUGUUCUGUGGUACAAGCAGGACCCUAAAGAAGGCCUGGUCCUCUUAGUGGCCUUGUAUAAGAGUGGUGAGGUGGUCAGAAGUGGCAAAGUGACUGCUGAGUUUGGUGGAACAAGAAAGGACAGUGUCCUGACUCUCUCAGUCUCGGAACCUGCAGACUCAAGUACCUACUUCUGUGCAGGAGAGCACAGUGCUCCCCAGGCACCCGCAGCCUGA